CCUACGGGCGGCAGCAGUGAGGAAUAUUGGUCAAUGGACGAGAGUCUGAACCAGCCAAGUAGCGUGAAGGAUGACUGCCCUAUGGGUUGUAAACUUCUUUUAUAUGGGAAUAAAAUGUUCCACGUGUGGGAUUUUGUAUGUACCAUAUGAAUAAGGAUCGGCUAACUCCGUGCCAGCAGCCGCGGUAAUACGGAUGAUCCGAGCGUUAUCCGGAUUUAUUGGGUUUAAAGGGAGCGUAGGUGGAUUGUUAAGUCAGUUGUGAAAGUUUGCGGCUCAACCGUAAAAUUGCAGUUGAAACUGGCAGUCUUGAGUACAGUAGAGGUGGGCGGAAUUCGUGGUGUAGCGGUGAAAUGCUUAGAUAUCACGAAGAACUCCGAUUGCGAAGGCAGUUCACUGGACUGCAACUGACACUGAGGCUCGAAAGUGUGGGUAUCAAACAGGAUUAGAUACCCUUGUAGUC
rnacentral:rRNA from 1 species